rnacentral:misc_RNA from 1 species
CAAAAUCCAAAACCCUAAGCUCUUCACCACAUCAAGUUUCUGUCCAUUUCCCAAUUUCUCAGUUAUGCCACCAAAAGCAGCUAAAGGUAAAGAAGUUCCUGCCGAAAGGCCGAUUCUUGGCCGUUUCUCAUCCCACUUGAAAAUUGGAAUCGUAGGAUUACCCAAUGUGGGGAAGUCUACUCUCUUCAACACACUGACAAAGUUAUCCAUUCCGGCAGAAAACUUUCCUUUUUGUACUAUUGAGCCUAAUGAAGCUCGAGUGCACGUUCCUGAUGAGCGUUUUGAAUGGCUCUGUCAACUUUACAAGCCCAAGAGUGAGGUGGCUGCCUUUUUGGAAAUUCAUGACAUAGCUGGACUUGUUCGAGGUGCUCAUGCAGGACAAGGAUUGGGGAACAGUUUCUUAUCCCACAUCCGCGCAGUUGACGGCAUUUUCCAUGUUCUACGCGCAUUUGAAGAUCCAGAUAUUAUCCAUGUUGAUGACACUGUUGAUCCUGUGAGAGACUUAGAGGUUAUAAGUGAGGAACUAAGGCUUAAGGACAUCGAGUUCAUGGAGAGAAGGAUAGAAGAUCUUGAUAAGAGUAUGAAGAGAAGCAAUGACAAACAAUUGAAAAUAGAGCAUGAAUUAUGUCUAAGGGUCAAAGCAUCACUCCAGGAAGGCAAAGAUGUUCGUCUGGGGGACUGGAAAGCUGCAGAUGUUGAAUUCUUGAAUACCUUCCAGCUCCUUACUGCAAAACCAAUUGUUUACUUGGUUAAUAUGAAUGAGAAAGACUAUCAAAGGAAAAAGAACAAGUUUCUGCCGAAGAUUCAUGCAUGGGUGCAGGAGCACGGUGGUGAAAUAAUUAUUCCUUUCAGUGCUGCUGUGGAGAGAAACCUUGCUGAUAUGCCACCAGAUGAAGCAGCAAAAUACUGUGAAGAGAACAAGUUACAAAGUUGCCUCCCAAAGAUCAUUAAGACUGGAUUUGCAGCCAUUAAUCUUAUUUAUUUCUUCACAGCAGGGCCAGAUGAGGUUAAAUGCUGGCAAAUCCGCAGGCUGAUGAAGGCUCCUCAAGCUGCUGGAACAAUUCAUACAGAUUUUGAGAGAGGGUUCAUCUGUGCUGAGGUGAUGAAAUUUGAAGAUCUAAAGGAACUUGGUAGUGAAUCGGCUGUUAAGGCUGCUGGGAAG